AAGAGAUGGUACAAGACUAGUCUUGGAGUUGGAAGUAUUGUAGGGGAGGAGGAUUUGAAGAUAUUAAGUUAUUUUCACCGAUGAUAGUUUCUUGUUUAUUUAUGUGUUACAUAUCUUGAUAGGGUGUCAAUGCAUGAUUCAAAUUACGUGUAGAUUUGAUAUUCUAAGAUAUGGAUUUUCAUGUUCCUUAUGUUCUUCAGCUAGAUAAUUAGAUGAUGUUUAAGGUCUGUGUGGUUAGUUAGCUAAAGUUACUGUAGAAUAAUUUAUUUAUCUCUUAUAUGUGGGUUCACUACUUUGUGUUAGGAUACUCUGGUAUUUCCUUUAGGUUUUUUAAUUGAUGGUUUUGUAAUAGUUGGUUUACAAAGUCUAAUUGGGUUUCUUUGGCUAAGAAAUUGCUUUUUGACUAAUCAUCACCUUUUUUUUUUUGGGUUAUUUAUUUUCUACUGUUUGAUUCAUGGUUCAAGGUUGGCUCCAGAUAUUAAAAUGUUACUGAACACUCUUUUUCUGAAACUUAAUCGGUCUUAUUGGAUGCGUUUCAUUCUCUCUCUUGAAUGAAUUACGGUCCCUAGGAAAUUUACAAGCAAAGUUGAGGGGAAGAGGAGUUAUAUAUGAACAUAAGACAUAUGUCAGUCUGAUCUAGCAUUGAGAACCAAGGACCAAGGAAAAGGGCUGCUGCUUUAGCUAUCUUAACUUAUGCCUGUAAUUUUUCUUACGGGAUCAAGUUCUUAGCAAGUUGGUGUUGCUGCAUCAACAUUACUCAAACUUGGGGUUUCAACAUGAUCAGUCUAGAAGUGGGAACCAAGGAUCAAGGCAGAGAGCUGUUGAGAUAACAAGCUCUCCGGACUCCGAGCUGAAGCGCCAUCAACACUUCUUCGUGUUGUGUCUUUUUGCGGGUUUUAUAAAUCACUC